rnacentral:rRNA from 1 species
UACGUAGGUGGCAAGCGUUGUCCGGAAUUACUGGGCGUAAAGCGUGCGCAGGCGGUUCGUUGUGUCGGCGGUGAAAGCCCCGGGCUUAACCUGGGAAUGGCCGUUGAAACUGGCGAACUGGAGUGUGGCAGAGGGGGGUGGAAUUCCGCGUGUAGCAGUGAAAUGCGUAGAGAUGCGGAGGAACACCGAUGGCGAAGGCAGCCCCCUGGGCUGACACUGACGCUCAGGCACGAAAGCGUGGGGAGCAAACAGG